GGGGAAAGAAAGUGUAUUGUGAGAUAAGAUUUAGAAAACAGGUUUUGGCAUUACGGAAAUGCUUGACUAUACAAGGAAGAUAAACAACAGAGAAGGCAGUGACUGAGAGAGGUAGGCACAGAAACAAGGUGCUUUACACAGGUUGUACAACUGCUUUGCAAGUGCUGUUAACUUGUUUGAAAAAAAGAGACACUAAGGUUUACUGGAUAUGACUUAAAGGAUGAAUGUAAAGGACCUGUAGAGGAUGAAAGAAAAUGAGAGGCUAUGGAGGAAGAAACAGCAAAGAGCGAUGUGAGAAAUGGUCUGCGGAAUGAUAUUCCACUACUGCAGUCUAUGCUGGCGAAACUUAGUCUACAACACAAACAUCCCAUUUCACACCAAGAUAAAAAAGUUUGUAAAAGUGUGUUUUACAGUGAAGAACGUUUAACAAAUGAAGAAGACAGGAAAGAUAGCACAGUCAGAUCUUAUGGUGAUGAGGAGCAACCAACUAGCAGUUCUGAAACAGAAGAUGGAAAUGAAGUUGUUGAAGAGGUCAAAGAUGCCCUUACUAAUCAGGAGAGGAAGAACUUUCUCCCUGUGUCUUUGUCCACAGAAAUACAAGCUUCAGAAUUAAGUCAGCAGCCAAGUAAAAAUGAGUUUCUGGAGGACAAAAAGAACAAAGAGACUAGCACUGAAGAGCAAGUGGCUGAAGCUGCAUUAUUGCCUAACAAUCUAUCUCAAGAAACAUCUGCACAUACAUCUUACCUCUCUGUGUCCUCAGAUAAAGUAGACUAUGCACAGGCAGGGUUUAAGCUUGAACCAUUAGAUGAAGCUUGUGGUAGUCCUUCAAAUCCAGUCAGUAUGGACACCAGCAGGGUUCUAACCCAUCAAACUGCUGUCAACCUUACAAGCAAGACAACAAGGUCUGCUUCAGAUCCAGUAAAACACACGCCUAAGGAAAAGAGACCCCUGUCAGCUCCAAGUAUUUCAAACCAAUGGGAAUAUGAAGAUAUUGCAAAUGCAAUGUCAACAAAAAGCUUCAACAAAGCUGCUAAGAUUUUGGCACAGGAGGAUUCAGGCAUGAGCACCGGGGGUGCAGAACAUGACAACCCGCUCAACAAAACUCAAAAGAAAGGAGUGAAAAACAAAAUGAAGACUCUUACUCAGAAACUGAUGGAAAAGCUUAAAGAUAAACAUUAUUGUGAGCACACCAGCAGCAAGAGCACCCAAGACAGUGUGGAGGAAGAAGGACAAAAUCUGAAUGUCAUGGAGAUGGAAGCCAAGGCUCCAGAGAUUCCACCACCACUUCCACCGAAAAAGGGGAAAUAUGUUUUCUUAGACAGAAGAUUUACCUUAAAAGACUUCAAACUCGAUCUUGAACCGAUCAACUUAAUGGAGGAAAUAUUCUCUGGGAGCGAAUGGCUCAGUUACCUGCCCAGCAAAGAAAGUCCAUCUGAGAAAGACACUAGUGAUCAGUCAAUGACAAACGAUGUUCUCCAACCAGAAAAGGGUAUUCAGCUCAACGUUCCUCUUCCAACACCAGAGCAGGACCAGUCAGAGGACAUAAAGGACAAUCAAGACAGUGUUAGCGAUCCUCAAGAGGACAAUGUAGCAAAAGCGAACAGUGACUUGGAUGUAAAACAUCUGGAACAGGAUCCAAACAUAUUUGCCAUACCUAAGGCACUGCUAACAAGUAAUGCAAUAAAACAAAGGGCUGGGAUAGACUGUGAGCCAAACAAAUCAGAAGACAUCUGUGAUCGUAUGGACAUGUAUAUUAUUCCCAGAAAUGACUUUCCAUUAAUGAAAAGAAAGGCAUCAGAUGCUCCACUGGACUUUUCAGCAGUCAAGUCAUUUGAAUUUCUAGACAACUCUGCCCUCAAGAGUCGAAUUCGUCUUAGCAAAAAGAGACACCACCGACCACCCAAAAAGCACAAAAAAGUAAAAACAGAAAUGUUGAGUGCCAUAUUCUACAAGAUUCCCCCUGUGAUACUGAAUGAAUCCCCUGUCAGCGCAUCUCAACCACGUCAUAGCAUCCCCCUUUCCACAUCUCCUCCCCUGCAUUCACCAUCACAUCCAUAUCACUCCUAAACAGUUACUCCAUGAGAUGACGUCAUGAUCAUGGUCAUUAAUCUAUGAAACCCAAAGCACAAACAGAGAAAGACCAUAUUGCAUAAAAUCUAUUCCAUUGUUCAAUCAGAAUUUAUUGUGUGAUCGUUGUAUCAAUGGUGUGCCUUGUUUCAAGGCAUGAAAAAGUGUGGGAUUGUUUUGCACACAAUUUUGAACUUUCCUGAAAGUUCCACAGUCACAACUCUGAUAUGAAUGAAUAAUAGGCCUAUAAAAAUAAUAAACUAAAAAAUGACAUAUUACAUAAAUGCAUCAUGGUCAUUACUCUAUGAAAUUCAAUUCAAGUUUUUCAGUUCAAGUUUAUUUGUAUAGCGCUUUUUACGAUACAAAUCAUUGCAAAGCAACUUUACAGAAAAUUAAGUUUCUACAAUAUUUAGUAGUAGCUUAUCAGUGGUGACUGUCAGUUUAUGUGUAUACGGCAGAAACGUUCGGAAAAAUCAAUAAAAGACGUAAACAAACAGACGAUUAACACUAUUAACAGCAAUUAUAUGCAAUCAAACUUAUAGAAAAAUGUGGUAGUUCUGUAUGAUGUCUCUGGGUUAGCAUCAUCUGAGGUCCUCUGAGGGGUUGGCAUCAUCUCUUCUCAGGUGUUCUGGAUCCAGACUGGAGCUUGUGUAAAUCCUACAGAAACAAAUAGAGACAUAAUUAGCGUAGCUGCUGUUCCAGCCAAGUAAAAUUAAUUAGUUUAACCCAAGCUAAAGAAUAAUAAUGCGCAUUUGAUCAGAUAUAACUGCAGUCCAACAUUAUGAGAUGCAUUAUUAUUAUAUAUGUUUCAUAAUUCCUUGGCAGAUUAAUAGACACCUCGACUGUAAAGGCUGGAAAAAGAAAUUUACCAGUGUUCAAAAGAUCAGGGAUGUUACAAUGGAUUUUCACAAUUCUUUUCCUAACAAAUAUCAAUUCUCAAAAAGUCAUAAAUAUGAUGUUCUGUCAAUAUACACAUUUGUUUUUAUUUUGUUCAUUCAUAGCUGUUGAUUAACUGUAAAGCACAGUUUUUU
ensembl:lncRNA